GACGAACGCUGGCGGCGUGCUUAACACAUGCAAGUCGAACGGAAAGGCCCUGCUUUUGUGGGGUGCUCGAGUGGCGAACGGGUGAGUAACACGUGAGUAACCUGCACUUGACUUUGGGAUAACUUCAGGAAACUGGGGCUAAUACCGGAUAGGAGCUCCUGCUGCAUGGUGGGGGUUGGAAAGUUUCGGCGGUUGGGGAUGGACUCGCGGCUUAUCAGCUUGUUGGUGGGGUAGUGGCUUACCAAGGCUUUGACGGGUAGCCGGCCUGAGAGGGUGACCGGCCACAUUGGGACUGAGGUACGGCCCAGACUGCUACGGGAGGCAGCAGGGGGGAAUAUUGCACAAUGGGCGGAAGCCUGAUGCAGCGACGCCGCGUGCGUGAAGACGGCCUUCGGGUUGUAAACCGCUUUCGCCGGUGACGAAGCGUGAGUGACGGUAAUGAGUAAAGAAGCACCGGCUAACUACGUG
rnacentral:rRNA from 1 species